rnacentral:rRNA from 1 species
UACAGAGGGUGCAAACGUUGUUCGGAUUUACUGGGCGUAAAGCGCGUGUAGGCUGCUUCGCAAGUCGGAUGUGAAGGCCCUGGGCUCAACCCAGGAAGUGCAUUCGAAACUGCAGAGCUGGAGUCCUGGAGAGGAAGGCGGAAUUCUCGGUGUAGAGGUGAAAUUCGUAGAUAUCGGGAGGAACACCGGUGGCGAAGGCGGCGACCUGGGUCGAUACUGACGCUGAGGCGCGAAAGCGUGGGGAGCGAACAGG